rnacentral:rRNA from 1 species
AUUGAACGCUGGCGGCGUGCUUAACACAUGCAAGUCGAUCGGUAACAGGUGUAGCAAUACAUGCUGACGAGAGGCGGACGGGUGAGUAAUGCUUGGGAAUCUGCCUAUUAGUGGGGGACAACCCGGGGAAACUCGGGCUAAUACCGCAUACGCUCUACGGAGGAAAGCCGGGGACCGCAAGGCCUGGCGCUAAUAGAUGAGCCCAAGUCGGAUUAGCUAGUUGGUAGGGUAACGGCCUACCAAGGCGACAAUCCGUAGCUGGUCUGAGAGGACGACCAGCCACACCGGAACUGAGACACGGUCCGGACUCCUACGGGAGGCAGCAGUGGGGAAUAUUGGACAAUGGGGGCAACCCUGAUCCAGCGACGCCGCGUGGGUGAAGAAGGCCUGCGGGUUGUAAAGCCCUUUCGGUGGGGAAG